GGGAUGACGUCAAGUCAUCAUGGCCCUUACGACCAGGGCUACACACGUGCUACAAUGGCAUAUACAAAGAGAAGCGACCUCGCGAGAGCAAGCGGACCUCAUAAAGUAUGUCGUAGUCCGGAUUGGAGUCUGCAACUCGACUCCAUGAAGUCGGAAUCGCUAGUAAUCGUGGAUCAGAAUGCCACGGUGAAUACGUUCCCGGGCCUUGUACACACCGCCCGUCACACCAUGGGAGUGGGUUGCAAAAGAAGUAGGUAGCUUAACCUUCGGGAGGGCGCUUACCACUUUGUGAUUCAUGACUGGGGUGAAGUCGUAACAAGGUAACCGUAGGGGAACCUGCGGUUGGAUCACCUCCUU
rnacentral:rRNA from 1 species